GGGAACUGGGUAGGGGAAUAGAGGAGGAGAGGGGGACUAGGACGUGGCUGGUGCUCUGGCUGUGGCUCGGGGCUGGGCUGGGAAGGUUGCCCUCCUCUGCAGCGCAGCGCUGGAGCCCGGCGCUCCUGUGGGCGUGGGCCCCGUAGCGCCUCCCUGGCGGGCGUUGAUGACAGGCGGGGUCCCUGCGGCACAGAAAUGUUGCCCGGGCGGUUGUGCGCGGGCGGCCAGGCCUGGCGGUGGGCGUCCACGGCGGCGUGACCUUGGGCGACGGUCUCCUUUUGGAUCCUGUGUGUCGAGGAAAGGGUCAGCAGGUAGAAAAACGGAGGCCACAAAACCAACCUUGCCUGCUCAAGCUGCACAGAAAGGGGCCUUCCAAGGGGCAGGGGCAGAAGUGGGAAUGAAGACGAGACUGCCAGACCCUGCGGCCAGCCCUCUUCACCCCUUGCCAUCCUGUUGGCAACAUCCUGACAUUCCUAUCUGGACAGGGGCACCCUAAAAUAGAUAACUGAAUAAUCCCAGAAAGGAGCACUGAGUGAAGGGCCCUGGAAACACCAGGAGGGUCAGCACACGGGAGCACACUGGUCUGGCCCCGAAGGGGCCUUCCAAGGAGCCUUGGGAAUUAGGUCCGGGAUUGGCCACUGCUGCGCUCCCCACCCGCUCCGGUACUGAGUCCAUUGCACUUUUGGUUUCUGCAUUUGCAAGCAUUUCCCUUGCAGAAAAAUGCAGUGGAAGCAACUCAAAUCCUAGGGCAGAAACAACAGCAGCAGGUGCAGCUAUGGGUGGUUUGAGCCACACAUAGCAGGUGAGGCCAUGGAGAGCCCUGAGAGGGCACAAGCUGGCUGGUUGGUAGGGCCAGGGGCCUUGCCUUUUUCAUUUUUGUAUUCCUAGUGCCCACAUAGAA